UACGAGGGGGGCGAGCGUUGUUCGGAAUUAUUGGGCGUAAAGGGUGCGUAGGCGGUUUGGUAAGUCUUAUGUGAAAUCUAUGGGCUCAACUCAUAGUCUGCAUGAGAAACUGCCGGGCUUGAGUAUGGGAGAGGUGAGUGGAAUUCCUGGUGUAGCGGUGAAAUGCGUAGAUAUCAGGAGGAACACCUGUGGCGAAAGCGGCUCACUGGACCAUAACUGACGCUGAUGCACGAAAGCGUGGGGAGCAAACAGG
rnacentral:rRNA from 1 species